UACGGAGGGUGCAAGCGUUGUUCGGAAUUAUUGGGCGUAAAGCGCGUGUAGGCGGCUAUUUAAGUCUGAUGUGAAAGCCCGGGGCUCAACCUCGGAAGUGCAUUGGAAACUGGAUAGCUUGAGUACGGGAGAGGUAAGCGGAAUUUCCUGUGUAGCGGUGAAAUGCGUAGAUAUAGGAAGGAACACCGGUGGCGAAGGCGGCUACCUGGACCGAUACUGACGCUGAGACGCGAAAGCGUGGGGAGCAAACAGG
rnacentral:rRNA from 1 species